CUGAGGGAGGGGGCUAAACUGAGCUGAUCCCACGUGUGACGAUUCCGUUCCCGGCUCAGUAAUAUUCUCCCAGUCGGGCUGUGCAUAGCUUUUGCAGUGUCUGUGUGUGUUUGUUACUGUAGUUACUGCCUAUAGUUUGGUUAGCUAUGGAAGGAGACGGGAGUCAAGUUACAUCUGGAAGCCCAAAUGAUUCACAACAUGACCCGGGUAAAAUGUUUAUUGGUGGCCUCAGCUGGCAAACCUCACCAGACAGCCUUAGAGACUAUUUUAGCAAAUUCGGAGAAAUAAGAGAAUGUAUGGUGAUGAGAGACCCCACAACAAAACGUUCCAGAGGAUUUGGAUUCGUUACGUUUGCAGAUGCUGCCAGUGUAGAUAAAGUCUUAGCUCAACCACACCACGAAUUAGACUCAAAGACGAUUGAUCCUAAGGUUGCCUUCCCCCGACGCGCUCAACCCAAGAUGGUCACAAGAACAAAGAAAAUAUUCGUGGGCGGAUUGUCAGCCAACACAGUGGUGGAAGAUGUGAAGCUGUAUUUUGAACAGUUUGGGAAGGUAGAAGACGCCAUGCUUAUGUUUGAUAAAACGACUAACAGACAUAGAGGAUUUGGCUUCAUAACUUUCGAGGGCGAAGACGUCGUAGAGAAAGUCUGUGAAAUUCAUUUUCAUGAAAUCAAUAAUAAAAUGGUAGAAUGUAAGAAGGCCCAGCCCAAGGAGGUGAUGUUCCCACCAGGCACGCGAGGGAGGGCCAGGGGCCUGCCCUACACCAUGGACGCCUUCAUGCUGGGGAUGGGCAUGCUGAGUGAGUAUGGACCAACACUACUCCAGCACAGUCCAGCACAUUACUCAGUCCCACACGGUUACCCGAACAUUGUGGCAACAUACGGUCGUGGAUACACUGGAUUCACCCCCAGUUACAGCUAUCAGUUCCCUGGUUUCCCGGCGACGGCGUACGGACCGGUGGCGGCAGCGGCGGUGGCAGCAGCGCGUGGCUCAGGUAGGGGGGCCCGAGGAAAAGGCGGCUAUAUGGCGUACCCGCAGAACACAGGGCCAGGCUUUCACGAUUACGGGUUUUACUCUGCGCCCAGUGACCAGAGGGGGGCGCCCUGCUCCUUUGCGGACUAUGGCUCCCUGGGGCCCCAGGCGGCUCAGAUGCUGCACAGUGAGCAUGCCACCUCCGCCUGCAACUCCCCCCUCCAGCACCUGCACAGCCCGGAUCAGUUUAAGAGCCCAGGGGGAAACCCAGCUCGUCCUGGAGGCUUCCCAGGUGCCAACAGCCCAGGGCCUGUAGCCGACCUGUACGGCCCUGGAGGCCAGGACUCCAAUGUGGCUAACUACAUCAGUGCUGCCAGCCCCCAGGCUGGCUCCGGCUUCGGCCACAGUAUCGCAGGCCCGUUGAUUGCGACAGCUUUUACAAAUGGAUACCAUUGAACAGGUGUUCGGUUGCCAUCUUAUUGGAGUAACCCUCUAUUUCACCUCACCGUCCUACAAACUUGUACAGCAGAGUCUAUCUGGUGGUCCAGGGAAGACAGACCGAACCUUCUAAUUGGCUCUGUGUACAGGUGAUGUCAUCCAACUUCAAGCACUACAGCAUCACCCAGGAGAAAUGGUGGAACCACAUAAAAAAAAUCAUCUCAGAAAGGAAAGAAAACUGCUGUACCAUAAUCCAAACCUGUAACCUGACAACCUGGUUUGUUAUGACAUUUCUUGAUGAUUUCAUUCACUUUUUUUCCUUCCUUUUAUUCGUUGUUUGAUUAGCUUUACAGGGAGGCAUUUUGGUUUGAUCCUAAUUAUUUGUGUCAUUUUUUGAUUUUUUUCUUGUAGUGUAUGCAAAUGGAUAUGCUUCUCUCUUUCGGGGGUCAUAGUCGAGAAUGUACGAAGUAAUGUGUUCACAUUUGGUACCAAUUCGUUUCAUCGAAAAAGAUCAGAGCUUUAGGUGUCUUUUUGCACAUAAAAGAAAUCCAAAGUGGAAAGUCUUGGAAAAAAACAUCAAUUUCAUUUCAAAUGAAAAUUCGAGAGGGUAACUAACUAAUAAAUCUUAGUAGCUGUUUUUAAUUAUUGUGAUGUCUCAUUGUUAACCAUAAUUACCUAUUUUUGGGCAAUACAAAGAGGACUCCAAUAUUUUUAUGGUCCUUUUUUACAAGUGUUGUUUUUGUUGUUUAGAAAACAAUCUGUAUACUAUAAAACAUUUCAUAUAAAUACAUUGUGAAUUCAAAGACUUAAGAAAAAUAAAUGUAACUGUAAAUACUAUUCCAGUCAUUGCAUAUAACCAACUCCAUGAGAGAAUAGCAUAUUUUUGUGAUGGUGUGUCAAAGAAAUGUUCUAGCGCGUGAAUAGGAAAAAAAGCUCUAAACAAAUACUAUUAUCCUUUACUGCUCAGAGACAGUGACUACCCUAGUGAUGGACACAACAUAUUUCAACACUGAUGGCUUGCUCUGUAAAUACUCAAGCUGAAUACAUUUACAAGUGUCAAACCAGUGCAUUUACAAGUGGUGAGUUCAACGCACAGUUUUAAAAUGGAUAAAAGAUCAUCUGUAUCUUUUGUCUAACCAAGUGUUAUUUAAGAGAUCAAUAUUAUUUGAGUGAUCAUUUAAUCCAAAGCACACAGUACUUAGUGUUGAAGAAUAGAACUUGAGCCUAAGCAUUUUACAGUACUCUGCGCAUCCAGACACUUUUAUACUCCUGAGAGAAAACCUCAACUUGUUGUUUGUUGUUUUGUUGUUGUUGUUUGUUUCCUCCUGCUUGUUCCUCUUAAGUUUGGGACUCCAUCAGUUCUCUUUUCAAUGAAUUAGGAAGGAAAACAUUUUGAUACCAUACCUCAGCCCUGUGAGUUAUACCUUGGAAUCGUUGAGAGGUUUCAUUUAUUUUAGUGGCAAAUAGAUUCAAACAUUGAAUGGAGAAAAAAAAUGUAUAAAUCAUUGCACUGUGAGCAGUAAAGAAAGAACAGGCCAUUUCCUAUUUGCACAUGUAUAUGUUGGCUAUUUAAAAUGGUCCUGUCUCUGGGGUGAAGUAUGAAGGAUUAUUGGAUGUUGCUCCUCUCUAGAAUAGGCAUACACAAACAGCUUGGCAAAUAGCAAUUAACUGAUUAAUUACUACCAAUGUGUUGUGGUCAUGUCUUUGGAUUUCAUUGUAUUGUGUACGCCAACUUCUAAUCUAAAAUAUUGAUGCUAUUUUAGAUCCAGCCAAUAGAAGACACUGAAUAAAUUAUUCAUCCUGGUAACCAUAGCUGCUGCGCUAAUUUCUUACACAGUAUGUGUAGGGACAGGUUUUGCUCAAUUAUAGAGACAUUUAACGACAUGCUUUAAAGUGCAGUAAGAUUUGUAAACAUGAUGAUGGAAUGAGUGGUGUAUAUUCUGAUGUACUUUUCCUGCUGCAAAUAUGUUUGACAAUUCAUUUCACCUGAUGUUUCAUUUCAUUAGCUCUUUGGUUCAGAACAACCAGGUGAAGAAAAAUGCUGGAUGCUUUUGAAUGAUGUGGAGAUAUGAUCAAGUAAUAAUUGAAAUGAGAAAACGGAAGAGAACCAUUGUAAUGUUCAAAUGUAAAAGGAAAAAAAGAAAUACAAAACUUUUUAAAAAAAGAAAAAGAUGCUUCUUCACUGAUUUCAAUUUUGAAUCAGGGGAUUUUAUUGAUAUUUUUUGUGGUUACUAAUUGUAAUAUGAUAUUAUUAAAAUGUACUGUGCAUCCAUC